GGCUCGAACGAGAGGAGAUGAUAUCUUGAGCUCUGGUCAGAGCUGUUGCAAUUGCAGCUCCUGGUCAUGGACAGCUGAUGAUGGUUAGGCCUGUCCCAGCCACUCGUGAGGCCUGCAUCACAACCCUCAGCCAAGCUCACAUAGAGUGGAGUCAGAGGAAGACACCUCAUAUACAGCUUUGGCAUACAGUCCACAGAUGUCCGAUUGACCAGCAGGGGAUUGAUAGAGAGUGAUGAAACACGGACCACCUAACCAACUGGACCCUCCCGUACGCUGGGCAACGUAUUCACCAAUUACAGCUCCAUGCUAUAGAGCUACCGGCCACAAUUGGCACUGGCACAGUCCGGAUUUGAUCCAAGACUGUGGGACUCUCAUCCACGCACUCCAACAUAGUACCGUAGUUGACUGAGCCUCCCAGCAGCACUGCAAAAUAA